rnacentral:rRNA from 1 species
UACGUAGGGGGCAAGCGUUGUCCGGAAUCAUUGGGCGUAAAGCGCGCGUAGGUGGCCCGGUAAGUCCGCUGUAAAAGUCCAGGGCUCAACCCUGGAAAGCCGGUGGAUACUGUCGGGCUCGAGUCCGGAAGAGGCGAGUGGAAUUCCUGGUGUAGCGGUGGAAUGCGCAGAUAUCAGGAGGAACACCAGAGUCGAAGGCAGCUCGCUGGGACGGUA